GACAGAGGGUGCAAACGUUGUUCGGAAUUACUGGGCGUAAAGCGUGCGCAGGCGGUUUUGCAAGACAGAUGUGAAAUCCCCGGGCUUAACCUGGGAACUGCAUUUGUGACUGCAAGGCUAGAGUGUGUCAGAGAGAGGUGGAAUUCCGCGUGUAGCAGUGAAAUGCGUAGAGAUGCGGAGGAACACCGAUGGCGAAGGCAGCCUCCUGGGAUAACACUGACGCUCAUGCACGAAAGCGUGGGGAGCAAACAGG
rnacentral:rRNA from 1 species